rnacentral:rRNA from 1 species
GAUGAACGCUGGCGGCGUGCCUAAUACAUGCAAGUCGAGCGAACAGACGAGGAGCUUGCUCCUCUGACGUUAGCGGCGGACGGGUGAGUAACACGUGGAUAACCUACCUAUAAGACUGGGAUAACAUCGGGAAACCGGAGCUAAUACCGGAUAAUAUAUUGAACCGCAGGGUUCAAUAGUGAAAGACGGUUUUGCUGUCACUUAUAGAUGGAUCCGCGCCGCAUUAGCUAGUUGGUAAGGUAACGGCUUACCAAGGCAACGAUGCGUAGCCGGCCUGAGAGGGUGAUCGGCCACACUGGAACUGAGACACGGUCCAGACUCCUACGGGAGGCAGCAGUAGGGAAUCUUCCGCAAUGGGCGAAAGCUUGACGGAGCAACGCCGCGUGAGUGAUGAAGGUCUUCGGAUCGUAAACUUCUGUUAUUAGGGAAGAACAACUGUGUAAGUAACUAUGCACGUCUUGACGGUACCUAAUCAGAAAGCCCCGGCUAACUACGUG